rnacentral:rRNA from 1 species
UACGUAGGGUGCGAGCGUUGUCCGGAAUUACUGGGCGUAAAGAGCUCGUAGGUGGUUUGUCGCGUUGUUCGUGAAAACCGGGGGCUUAACCCUCGGCGUGCGGGCGAUACGGGUAGACUAGAGGUAGGUAGGGGAGAAUGGAAUUCCUGGUGUAGCGGUGAAAUGCGCAGAUAUCAGGAGGAACACCGGUGGCGAAGGCGGCUCUCUGGAACGCAACUGACGCUGAGACGCGAAAGCGUGGGGAGCAAACAGG